ensembl:lncRNA novel transcript, antisense to ISL2
GGUUUUGAAAAACUAAGAGUCCUCGGAGCAGGGGUCUGCAGUCUGGUGAAAGCAGGUUGCAUCCUGGCGCCUUGGGCUGUCCAGACCGUGUCUCUCGGUACUCUCUCAUAAAUAACAAUAGAAUAAUUACGAAGGCGAGAGAGCUUUCGGAACUGGAAUGGCCUGAGCAUGGCGCUUGUUCUGGAACCAGACGCGGAUGACCCGCGGGCUCAGGCCGGUCAUCUCCACCAGCUGCUCCUUCAUGAGAGCGUCGGGCCGCGGGUUGGCGGCGUAGCAGGUCCGCAGAGUGUGCAGCUGCUUCUCGUUCAGCACAGUCCGCACGCGGGUCGUCUUCUCCGUCUGCUUGUGCACGUGCGGGCGCAACGCGGGCUGCCGGCCCGACCCAGCGUCUGCCAGGACAGGUCGCAGGACCCUCGGAACGAGCGAAGCCCUCCGGAAGAAGUCGGAGUUUCAGAGGAAGAGGAAAGAGGCUUGCCCAGGACUCUGGAGAGGGAAAGGGACCGACGUGGACCCAGGGCGAGGCGCUGCCCAGGGGACUGGGUGGGAGGUGCGAAUAUGCCGGGGGCCUACGAGGGCCCUUCCCCUCCUUCAGAGCCCAUUUGGACAGGGCCAGGCCACAUGUGUAGAAGACUCAUCCACGGUUAUGGACGGGCCUCCAGGGCUUGCAACAGUUCCUUCCUGCCCGCCCUUGGGCUUCGGCCCCUGUCUCCUUCCUCAAGGCUCCAGGUUCCCCAGCCCAGUGGCCUCCCACCGACCAA